GAAGAAGGGAUCACUGGAUUUUGUCACUUUGGUACAAGAAACAGAAAAGGAUAUCAUAGACCACCUUACUUAUACAGAAGCAUAGGAGCUGUUGAAGGAAAUUGCUGCCAGACAGUCAGCAGUUAUCACUGACAGCCUGUCCUGGCCCAGCUUGGACCAUCCUCAAGCUAACCAUGAUGGUGUGUUUGCAAGAAUUGUCCAUUUGGUAGACCAUGAUGAAGACCAGCUUUGUUGUGGCAUGGCCUGACAAUACUGUACAAUCCAGAGACCAAAAAAGGGUUAAGUGGUGACUGAUCCUCUCACUCUCCUUAUCCAGGAAACGUUUUGGAACAACGUGUUGACACUGAAGAUGUGGAGGACACAGAUUGAUCACAGUACAUCCUUUGGAUAUAUGGACACCUUCAACAGGAC